UCUGCAAGUUACUCAUGUGAUGGCUGCUCUGGGUGUAUAUGAAGUGGACUGGAAACACCUGCCUGGAUAGCUAGUUGUUGCGAAUACAUGACCUCAGAAAAGCUCUCCUUAGGGACAUGUCUCUGAGGAGUUCUGGCAAGUUUUUGAACAGCUGUCAUUGCCCCAGAGAAAUACGUUCGGAGUGGCAUCUGGCUCCUGCUAAUCAGCUCAGGAUGCUGCAACGCUUGGCCCUAGUGGUUUGGAUCAGAAAACUUGGGAGCUGAAUUCGUCUGCUUCCCCACUGGGAGUGACAACGGCAGUGCCUGGAGAGGCCAGAAAUACAUUUCCUGGGCAGGUCUGAUGUUUUCAGGGAGGAGAUUUGUUGUUGCGGUUUUUUUAAAGGACUUGUUUAAAAAAAAUCUAUCUGCUUGGUUGGUUUGUUUGGCUGGUUGAUUUCCUGGAAAUCUUACACAACUGGAUUCGAGGCCUUUGGGGAUUUGUUUUUUCUCCCAACACAAUGUUUGUCUGGAAAAUAAGCAGCAUUUGUGAACCAAAGUUUAUGGUCCAGACAAAGAAAGAACCAGGUAUCUCCUUAAUAGAUCGUCGGCUCCUUUGGGGACAUUUCAGACUAUUAGCAUUCACCAUCUGGUGGACUGUAUUGUCCAUGUUUGUUGUAAUACCCCAUUGUGCUUGUUUCUUCCUGGCUUCUUUUUGCAGCACAACAUACUAAGGCAACAAAACUUGAGUCGUCCACUCACUGAGCUGUGCAUUGCCACCAU